rnacentral:rRNA from 1 species
UGUGACCUCAAAUCAGGUAGGACUACCCGCUGAACUUAAGCAUAUCAAUAAGCGGAGGAAAAGAAACUAACAAGGAUUCCCCUAGUAACUGCGAGUGAAGCGGGAAAAGCUCAAAUUUAAAAUCUGGCAGUCUUUGGCUGUCCGAGUUGUAAUCUAGAGAAGUGCUAUCCGCGCUGGACCGUGUACAAGUCUCCUGGAAUGGAGCCUCAUAGAGGGUGAGAAUCCCGUCUUUGACAUGGACUACCAGGGCUUUUGUGAUGUGCUCUCAAAGAGUCGAGUUGUUUGGGAAUGCAGCUCAAAAUGGGUGGUAAAUUCCAUCUAAAGCUAAAUAUUGGCGAGAGACCGAUAGCGAACAAGUACCGUGAGGGAAAGAUGAAAAGAACUUUGGAAAGAGAGUUAAACAGUACGUGAAAUUGCUGAAAGGGAAACGCUUGAAGUCAGUCGCGUUGUCCAGGGAUCAACCUUGCUUUUGCUUGGUGCACUUUCUGGUUGACGGGUCAGCAUCAAUUUUGACUGUUGGAAAAAGAUCAAGGGAAUGUGGCAUCUUUGGAUGUGUUAUAGCCCUUGGUUGUAUACAAUGGUUGGGAUUGAGGAACUCAGCACGCCGCAAGGCCGGG